rnacentral:rRNA from 1 species
CUGUGAAGACUGGUGGAGUGUUUAGAAGUGAUUAUGCCGGCAUGAGUAACGUUUGGAAGUGAGAAUCUUCCAUGCCGUUUGACCAAGGUUUCCUGGGCAAGGUUCGUCCACCCAGGGUUAGUCAGGACCUAAGGCGAGGCUGAAAAGCGUAGUCGAUGGACAACAGGUUGAUAUUCCUGUACCAGUUAAUUAGUGAUGGAGUGACGAAGAAGGAUAGUAUAUCCCGGGUGCUGGAUGUCCCGGGCUAAGCACAAA